CAUUCUUGUAAGUUUAUCUAAUUAUACGUUCUCGUGAAAGAAUUUCAAAUUCAACACUAGGAAAUAUAUGUAUUAAUAUUCUGCUCAAUUUUUUUUUGUAUUUAUUUUUUUAGAAAAUUUAAUUUAUUAACAUCCCUAUAAACCCCUAAUACAAAUUAUAAUUAAUUAUGUUGUUAUUAAUUAGUAAAUAAUAUCGUUUAUCAAAAUUUUGGUGAAAUUGAAUUCAUAUAACAAUUUAUACGAGGCUUGCAGUCCUUUUCUUACUUUAGUGAAUUGUGAUUAUUGUGUACCAAUUACUUGUUAGAAGUGAGGAGUGGAUAACAUUUAAAUACUUUUCUUAUGUUCAUUAUUCCUCUUUCAUAUAGGACCUUACUCUUGGCUUAGGGAAUCAACAACAGGUUUGUGAAUUUGUCUUCAUAAAAUUACAUUGUUUUUCAUUUGAUGACUCCCUUUUGCGCUUUUUUUGAUAACCAAAUCCUAUAUAAAAUUUGACUUAUAUUUGGUGUUUUACAUCAAUGUAAUUUGAUGCAGUGCCAUACAACAUGUAUUUAAAGUUCAUAUUUUUUUUUCCUUUUUGGUUAAACAUAUAAAGAUACUAUUAAGAACAAAAUUAAGAAGUUUACUGAAUUUUAUAUUAUUUGAAGCUUAAAAUUUUGUGCUUGUUUUGUAUAGUAACAGGAACAGUUGAAGACAUUAAAGUCAGAACGUAGAAAGGUUCAAUUGGGCAAUAUUACUGUUGAUAUUUAAAUAUUGUUUUUUCUUUUCACUUUCCUUAGUGUAAAAUUGAAUGUUCAUUGUAAUCAAAAUACUUUACAAGUGAAAAAAUAUAUCGCCCCACAAGUUAUCUUGUGUAAAUUGUAAACUAAUAUAUUUUACAUCUUAUAUAUGUAUUUAGGAAGGUAAUUGGUGGAAUGAGAGGAAUGACUGGACUGCUAUGGGAAACCUCAUUAUUUGACCCAGAAGGGUAUACACUUGAAAUUCUGGGUUAGAAUAUUACAUAUUUACUUUGGUUUUGGUGCAAUCAGAGUUUAUAGUUAUGUUUGACUAUCUUCAUUAUGUAUGUUUCUGUUGGGUGUCCAUUUUAGGGGCCUAUCUAUUCCUGAAUGUCGAAGAAUUUUACAUGUUGUUAAGUGUGAUGGAGAACCACUGUCUGAGGAUCUUCUCUGGCUCCUUUUAACAUGAAAGGCAAGGGUGUUUGGAUCUUGCUGAAUUCAUUACUAGAAUGUGGUUAUCAACAAACAUGAGAAGUUGAUUCAAGGGUGGAGAAAAGAAUUGAAAGACCAACUAGACAAACAGUACCUAACUGAAUUGGGAGAGAGUAUAGCUGAUAGCCAACAGGUUGUUUAACUAAAAUAUGACUUUCGCAAGUUGUCAUUGGCAUAAUUUUAUUAGUCAUUUGUACAACAUGUAGAGCAUUUUGAUAAGCAAAUCAGUUUUUCUUUGUUGACAAUCUUGUUUCAUGUAUUGUGAUAACAGCUGAAUUAAAAUUAGACACAGAAACAUUAGCUUUUGCUCUCUAUUAAUUGGACUUUGUUGCUUAGGGAAACCUACGGAAUUAACAAUUCAUGAAAGAAAUUCUGAAGUUCGAUUAUGUGUGAGUGGCAGUACAAUUCAUGAGAGCAUACUUUUUCUUUAUUUCCAGGGGAAAGAAAGGACCGAAGGAGAGCCUUCUUGUGUUGUGUCGAAAAACUUGGCCUAAAAACCAUGCAUCUAUCUUUAAAUUAUAGUGCUAAUUUUUAUUGUUUCUUUAAA